rnacentral:tRNA from 1 species
GCAACCGUGGCCUACUGGUUGGGGCUUUGGGUUUGUAACCAAAGGGUUGCCGGUUCGAUCCCCGACCAGUAGGA